UACGAAGGGGGCGAGCGUUGUUCGGAUUUACUGGGCGUAAAGGGCGCGCAGGCGGCUCAUUUUGUCAGGCGUGAAAGCCCCGGGCUUAACCUGGGAACUGCGUUUGAUACGGAUGGGCUAGAGUUCGGGAGAGGAGAGUGGAAUUCCCAGUGUAGAGGUGAAAUGCGCAGAUAUCAGGAAGAACACCCGUGGCGAAGGCGGUUCUCUGGGACGGUACUGACGCUGAGACGCGAAAGCGUGGGGAGCGAACAGG
rnacentral:rRNA from 1 species